rnacentral:lncRNA from 1 species
AAUAGGAUAAAAUUUUAGAGCUGGAGGCCAUCUGCAGAAAAAAAAGGUCAUCGAAUCAAAACCCCUUUGGUAAAAAAAUGUUUUUUUCAAUGCCUCCAGUCCCAAGCAGAGAAAGGAACAGAAGAUACUCUUCAGAAACGGUAGAGAGGCAACGUACUUAUUAAUGCUUAAGAUUUUUCCUUUUUUUUUUAAAGGUAGAAAUGGAAAGGAAAUAAAGUGAAAAGAUUACAGGAGGAGAAUCUACAAAAUUGCCUGAGGAUAAGAACAAAAGGAAGAAAAGAGAUAGGGAUGACACCAAGGUUUCUGAUCAAGGGAUAACUCAGAUGAAGUAUGAAGAAAAGAGAAAUAGAUAUGGAUGGAAGAUAGUAUUUUGGGUUUACAAAAUACAAUGUUUGGGAUACAGGAGAGCCUCCCAUUUCCCAGUCAUGUAACAAGCAGAUAGAAAUGCACGUCUGGAACUCCAGAGACAAGCGAGGAAAUUUAUUUUGAAGGUUAUCUAUGUAGAAAUUAUUGUUUCUAUGAGAAGUGGAUAGACAUAUGGCAGGAGACAGUACAGAUAGCCACCUGAAAGGGGAUAUAGAUAAAAUGAAAAUAAAAGAGUUUAGAAUGGAGAUGGAGACAUAGAUGCCAAACAUCAAAUGGAGACAGAGUUCCAUGUUGAUGAAGAAAGUGAAUGUCAAAGAAGUAACUGACAAAGAACAACUUCCAUCCAUGGCAUAUUUCCAAUGGAAGAUGCUUCCAAUAUUUUAUUCCUCUAGAAAAACAUAGUUGCCUCUUUUCUUCCCCCUCCCCGAGAAAAGCAAAAAUGGUUACCUGGCCAGUAAGUAGAUUUAGAAUAUUUAAGAUACAUCCAACAAACUACUCUUAUUUCUAGCUAGCCAAAUAAUCUUGAUAGAUCUUUUUAAAAUAAGACAUAAAUCAAUGUAUCUACAAAAUCAUAAUGAGCUAUUUCAACCAGAGAAGUCUGAAUUGGUUUUUCUCUCAAAAUUCUCUAAUAAUAUUUCAGUUAAGUUACUACUACAAGUAGUUGGAAUGUGUUUUCACAGGGAGGCCAGGAUCUACUUGUGUAGUAAGAAAUCAUUAGAGCAUACUCAAAAUGUCCCUUUAGAUGGGAUGGGCCAGGAGGAAGGAAGACGGAGAAAAUUUUUAUUUUAAACAUUGAAAACAUAUGUCUUGUUGACCUAUAAGCAGACACUGGAUCAGCAUUUGAUGUGUCUAGUCUAAUUUCUCCCUGUAAAAUUGUACUGGUGAAUCUUAGGGAGACAGAAGGCAGUAAAUUCCUUGCCUCCAUCAAUACAUUUGACCUCAGAGCAAACCCCACAACUGGCUACAGGCACCCACCAUCCAUCAUUGCUCUUGAAACCUGAUACUUCAGGGAAGGACAGCUGCACUGGGCAAAAGUCUAAGCAGCUUUCUAAGAUGCACUACCAUUAAAGAAAAAAAAAAAAAGGCACUUAUUCUGCUUCAGUAUUUUAAUUAACUGCUUUUCUAAACAUUUCUUCCCCCAAACUGAAACUCCAAAUCAAAUAUCCCCAGGAAUAUAUUAAUAAAAUUUAGACUUUAGAGAGAAACGCUCUCUUUGUGCAUUCUAGGUAAAAUUAUUUCUAGCUUUUGCUUUAAAUGCUUUCUAAGAUAAACAACAUACCGUGCCAUGCUAAUAUGUACAGACUUUAAUAAAUGUGCUAAGCAGAAAAAGAGAGUUCUAGCAACUACACUAAUUAUAGCAGUACACACAGAGUGCCAACAGGAAAAACGUACACAAAACAUCCGUAUCCAACAGAUCUUAAUUUUUAAGUCAAGUGGCAAUCACUUUUAACAAAUAGCUGAAGACAACAGAACUCUAUCAUAGGAACUAGUGUUCUUGAAUAUGGUAUGUUCAUUACGUGACUUCUACAUUCGAGAAUUAUGUAAAUUUAAAAUACAAAAUAAGAUAAAUUUGUAUGAUCAAACUGGAUAUUC